rnacentral:rRNA from 1 species
AUCAAUAAGCGGAGGAAAAGAAACCAACAGGGAUUGCUCUAGUAACGGCGAGUGAAGCAGCAAUAGCUCAAAUUUGAAAUCUGGCGUCUUCGACGUCCGAGUUGUAAUUUGUAGAGGAUGCUUCUGAGUGGCCACCGACCUAAGUUCCUUGGAACAGGACGUCAUAGAGGGUGAGAAUCCCGUAUGCGGUCGGAAAGGCGCUCUAUACGUAGCUCCUUCGACGAGUCGAGUUGUUUGGGAAUGCAGCUCUAAAUGGGAGGUAAAUUUCUUCUAAAGCUAAAUAUUGGCCAGAGACCGAUAGCGCACAAGUAGAGUGAUCGAAAGAUGAAAAGCACUUUGGAAAGAGAGUUAAAAAGCACGUGAAAUUGUUAAAAGGGAAGGGAUUGCAACCAGACUUGCUCGCGGUGUUCCGCCGGUCUUCUGACCGGUCUACUCGCCGCGUUGCAGGCCAGCAUCGUCUGGUGCCGCUGGAUAAGACUUGAGGAAUGUAGCUCCCUCGGGAGUGUUAUAGCCUCUUGUGAUGCAGCGAGCGCCGGGCGAGGUCCGCGCUUCGGCUAGGAUGCUGGCGUAAUGGUCGUAAUCCGCCCGUCUUGAAACACGGACCAAGGAGUCUAACAUCUAUGCGAGUGUUCGGGUGUCAAACCCCUACGCGUAAUGAAAGUGAACGGAGGUGAGAACCGCAAGGUGCAUCAUCGACCGAUCCUGAUGUCUUCGGAUGGAUUUGAGUAAGAGCAUAGCUGUUGGGACCCGAAAGAUGGUGAACUAUGCCUGAAUAGGGUGAAGCCAGAGGAAACUCUGGUGGAGGCUCGCAGCGGUUCUGACGUGCAAAUCGAUCGUCAAAUUUGGGUAUAGGGGCGAAAGACUAAUCGAACCAUCUAGUAGCUGG